CUGAGUUCAAGCCCCAGGUCUGGCACCAAAAAUAAAAAAGGAAAGUGGAAGCCACUGAAAUUUUUGGAGAGUAGAUAAUCAGAAUAAGAUAAUUAUCUCUAGGAAAAAAAUAUCUGAUGGGGUCCCUUUAGAAAUAGACUCUGUAGGUAGGUAGAGACUAGCAACAGGGGGUUGUACGGGCCAGGAAGAUGAAUACUGUCCAAAAUAGAUUUACAACUAUGAAAAUGAACAUGGAAACCUGUUGGGAAUGCUAUGGCAAGGAAUGUGAUAAGGGGGUGAGAUUAACUGGAAUACAGUGUAAACAGGUGUGGAGAUAUAACAACAAAAUCUCUCUAUAGUAUAAGCCAAUAGAAAAUAAUCAAUUAAAAAUAUUUUUAAAGUUAGUUAUAUGUUUAAAGAUAUACAAUGUGUGUGUGUGUGUGUGUGUGUG